CUCCAGGUGCGAGGGUAUAUAGCUCUCUCGUCUUUUCUCGACCGUAGGGACUGUGCGAGGAACAAGGUGCUGGGCAAGCACCGGUCGCCACGCCCGCCGCGGAUAAUCACCGGCAGCACAAGUGAUGACCGUCUUGUUUAUUGGCGCCUAAAGCGCUCCGUAGUCGUGGCCAGACAAGUUUCAUCGGGAAAUCUGUGCGCCUAACGCACAGGCGUCCGGUGGAAACUGCCUGGCUUUGGGACCGGAAGAACCAGAGGGGUACGUCUGGGGUAGGAGUGAAAUCCCGUAAUCCUGGACGGCACCACCGGUGGCGAAAGCGCCUCUGGAAGACGGAUCCGACGGUGAGGGACGAAAGCUCGGGUCACGAACCGGAUUAUAUACCCGGGUAGUCCGAGCUGUAAACGAUGUCUGCUAGGUGUGACACAGGCUACGAGCCUGUGUUGUGCCGUAGGGAAGCCGUGAAGCACUACCGCCUGGGAAGUACGUCCGCAAGGAUGAAACUUAAAGGAAUUGGCGGGGGAGAGCACA
rnacentral:rRNA from 1 species